GUUAAUUCUUGCCUCUCUCUGAUUUAAACUCUAGAUUAUUUGCAUUUUGCUCGUGUCCUUCGAGGUGUGUUAAAUUGUGCGUAUGGUUUUAUUUUUUGUACAGAAAUUUAUGUUUUAGGUCAUUUGUAUAGAAUUUAUAAUGGAGAAGUAUGUUAAUCUUUGUAUAUUGAAUUCAUUGAUCAUUUGUACUGAGAGCUCUUUCUCUUAAAUGUUAAUCUCUGUAUAUUGAAUUUAUUGAUCAUCUGUACUGCUGUAAUAGACUCACGAUUAUAACAAUUAAAGGUUCAAUACGAUAACUCUAAUAAUUUAUAGUUGAAACGAUAAAUUGUUUUGUGUCGAUCGGACAGAUUAUUACGUAAUGUCAACGUGAAUGUCUUCUUGUUCGUGUUUUUUAAUCAACCUUGGGUCCGUAUAGAAAUAUAUUAACCUGCUACGGCAAAGAAAUUAAGAACUAUUUAGAAAAAUAAAUAAUCGAUAUAUAAGGAUACUCUGCAUUCAUGAGGUGUUUAUUUUCUCUGCUAAUUGUAACUGUUUUUUUCUUUGGACAUUUUUUUUUUUAUCCUUUGGGAUAUUAAGGUCGACAUGAUGCCAUCCUGUUGAUACUCAGGAUUUUUCAUCGUUUCUGUUUUUGUUGCUUUGGUCUUCCUAAGCAUUCCAUUCCCAGGUGCUACUAGUCACCGAGUUCCUAAUAGGCAGUUGUUCUACAGCUGGCCUUGAGGAUAGCUUGUUUAUAAUAAUUAGAAUUACGUCAUGAGGGGGCGCCAUGUUGUGGAACUGUCCUCGACACACAAACGUACAGCACCGAGGGACCAUUUAAAUGCUUCCAGUAAACAAGAGAGUCCAGAGCGUUAUACUGUUUACCCUUCAUGGAAACGCUCCUUGCGGCAUGUAGUUGUAGCGACUCUUGCUUCAUUUUUACUUGGAUACCAUCUUGGUGUAAUUAAUGAAACAUUAGAGAGUAUUUCUUUAGACCUUGCCUUUAGUGGGAGCACAUUGGCCGAAGGUCUCGUAGUAAGUACAUCCUUAGGUGGCGCCUUUCUUGGAUCUCUAUUCAGCGGCGUGAUUGGAGAUGGACUAGGGCGUCGUAGAGCAUUGCAGCUAUGUGCAUUACCAAUGAUAAUUGGUGCAUCCAUGAGUGCAACCACAACAAAUCUCUGGGGAAUGCUUCUUGGGAGGUUAUUUGUUGGGAUGGGGAUGGGUCUUGGCCCAACUAUUGCAUCACUUUAUGUUUCUGAGGUAUCACCAGCUUAUGUAAGAGGAACUUUUGGGAGUCUUACUCAGAUUUCCUUAUGUCUCGGUCUUCUGGGAUCCCUAUUUAUGGGACUGAAAGCCAAGGGAAUAGUGGAUUGGUGGCGGACUUGUUUUUGGGUAUCUGUCAUUCCUGCUGCUUUACUUGCCCUUUUGAUGGAAUUUUCUGCAGAAAGUCCUCAUUGGCUUUUCAAGAGUGGAAGAACUGCUGAAGCUGAGGCUGAAUUUGAGAAGCUUUUGGGAGGAGUACAUGUUAAAUGUGCAUAUGCAGAAUUGUCGAAGUCUGAUAGAGUAGAUGACGCUGAUGCAGUGACAUUAUCGGAUUUACUCCAGGGCCGCUAUUUCAAAGUGGUUUUCAUCGGUUCAAUCCUUUUUGCUUUACAGCAGCUCUCUGGCAUUAAUGCUGUUUACUAUUUCUCUUCUACUGUCUUCAAAAGUUUUGGCAUACCUUCAGAUCGUGCAAAUAUUGGCAUAGGAGUCGCAAACCUUUUAGGGACAAUUGUUGCAAUGCUACUGAUGGAUAAACUUGGAAGAAGGGUGCUGCUUCUUGGCAGUUUUUCAGGCAUGGCAGUGUCCAUGGGCCUCCAAGUGGUAGGAGCAAGAUCAUUUCCAUCCAGCCCUGGAGCAUUCUAUCUUUCUGCCGGUGGCAUGUUACUGUUUGUCCUGACAUAUUCUCUUGGUGCGGGUCCUGUUCCUAGUCUCCUCCUAUCAGAAAUAUUUCCUGGUCAGAUUCGAGCAAAAGCAAUGGCAUUUUGCAUGUCAGUUCAUUGGGUGAUAAAUUUUUUUGUUGGUUUACUCUUCCUGCCGUUACUGGAGCAAUUAGGAGUCCAGAUCCUAUAUACAGUUUUCGGUACAUUUUGCUUCAUAGCAGUGAUUUUUGUGAAGAGGAAUGUAUUGGAAACAAAAGGAAAAUCACUUCAGGAAAUAGAAAUGGCACUUCUUCCAGUAGUGUAGAGGUAUUUGAUACAUGGAUCAAAUCAUCCUCUUCUUUGUUUCUCUCUGAAAAUGGGAGGAAACAGAUUCAUUCAAUAUUCCUAUCAUCAUCUUGCAUAUGUCCUUGUUCAAAUCGAGUGAUUACAAGAUCAUACAACCGCAUCAAAACUUGCAGCUUCUUAACUUUUGCCAAAUCGCUUUCUAGAAUGGUAUCGAUUUUCUUGAGGGCUGUCUUGUCUUUUUGACCUCAAUUCAGGUCAUUGAUUAUUUGUCUAUUUUCACUUUUUUUUUCUUUCUUUGCCUUGAUAUAAUGAAAAGAAAGUGCACAAAUGCCAUGGAUCACAGUUCAAAGUUUUCUAUUCAUUGAUUAUUUAUGUAACUUGACCUCUCUGAGCUUCAAAGCUGAUGAUGCCUAUGAGUACUCACAAUGCUGCAGGUUUAUAUAACGUAUGUGUCUUCUUUUUUUUCUUUUUUUCUUUUGUGUUCAACAAUUAAGAAGGAUUCCAAUA